CUGAUCAUUUGAAUAUGUCUCUCAUCAUUGUGAUGGCUCAUGUAAAUGGCAUUACUUCAUACAUCAACAUCUGUUUUGAAAACAUUGCUAGUGCUACUGAAGGAUUUGCAUGCAGCAGUCUACAUUUCACUUAAUAUUGUGCUUUAUGUAAUGUAGAAAUUAGGCUAAAACAUUAAAACAUUUAUUCUAUAGAGUUAGCAACCUAUUAGAACUGUAUAAUAAUGCAGAAAUGAUGUAAAUGACUGUACAUAAUGCAGCAUGUCAUGUUCAGUUUACACAUAAUAAACUUUUUCAAACAACUCUUCAGUUCUUCAUUAUAUCUGUACCAUCUCUGAAGGGUUUGCAACUAUGCGCCUCUCUUUAUAUUUAAACCUUCAAAGUGGAAAAAAUGUGCUUAAAUUUGGUUGAGCAAAGCAAAAUUAAGACUAUAUUAUUUCUAGUACCAAACGUUUUUUUUUUUUUUUUUUUUUUCAUGUAUCUAUAGGUAAACAAUGCAAAAUUAUUCUAUAUGUUCUUCUCCAGUUUUUUCACAGCCCUCUUUUAAUAUGGAUGAGAGGAGUGGCUAUCACACAGACAUGUACUGUAUUUCUACACACUGUAUCCUCAGAACACACUUACAGACUGCACAGAUAUACAUGUGUGAGUAUGUGAAUUGAUUUUAUUUUCUAUUUGAAAUAUCAAACAUCUAUCACAGAUUGUGAAGUUUUUGGAGUAUGUUGUUGUGGUGUAUGCUUUAUCAUGAAGAUGCUGUAUUUUUUAAAUUUCGCCUAUUGCCUAUAGGAUUAAUAAUGCAAUUUAACCAUUAAUGUAUUUGAUAUAAACUUAUGAAUUGACUUAAUUUAACACAUAUUCCACACAGAAAAUAAAAUAACUUGAACAACACUAUGGAUUUAUCCAACUGCACCCUCCGAUUUCAAAGGAACUUUUCUGAUGAUCCAUUUUAUGAGUGCAUGGACUCUUAUCCGGGAAAUAUUCUCACUGCCAUCAGCUUACUGUUCAAUACCGUCAUUUUCUUGCCUGUGAACUGCUGGAUUCUGUGGCUGGUGACGAGAAGUGUCGCGUCCUCAGACUUUGUCAUUUUGAGUCUGUUGCUGAGGUCAUUAAUGGGGUUUCUCUCAUUACUUUUGUCUUAGGUGCUUUGCUUAAUAAGAAAGCUCUUAUUCUUAUCUCUAUUUUCCUGUGCAGUACAUAUCUGGUGGGUCGACUGCUCUUUCAAACCGUUUUCUGUGUGGAGCGAUACCUGGCUGUGGUCCAUCCACUGGUUUACCUGAAAUACACAAAAACCCCUAAGAUGAAACUGCCUUUAGUUGUGCUUGUCUGGCUGAUUAUCCUGGCAUUUGGAUUUUAUAUUGUUAAUUCUUACCCAAAAAUGCCUGUAUGGCUUGCAAUGGGACUGUUUCUAGCAAUAUUAGUUGUGUGUUCAUCUUGCUCUGUCAUGAUUCCGUGGUUUUUAAAGAGACCCAAGCCAGGGGACGGAGAGAAAGCAGGAGCACAUCAACAGAAGAGAAAGGCUUUUGUAGCUGUCACAGUCAUCUUGAUCACAAUGGUGUUUGGCUAUGGGACAGUCUCAUGGGUUUUUGUAAUGAGGGAUCAACUUCCAU
ensembl:lncRNA